GACGAACGCUGGCGGCGUGCCUAAUACAUGCCAGUAGAACGCACAGUUUAUACCGUAGCUUGCUACACCAUAAACUGUGAGUUGCGAACGGGUGAGUAACGCGUAGGUAACCUGCCUGGUAGCGGGGGAUAACUAUUGGAAACGAUAGCUAAUACCGCAUAAUAUUGAUUAUUGCAUGAUAAUUGAUUGAAAGAUGCUAUUGCAUCACUACCAGAUGGACCUGCGUUGUAUUAGCUAGUAGGUGAGGUAACGGCUCACCUAGGCGACGAUACAUAGCCGACCUGAGAGGGUGAUCGGCCACACUGGGACUGGGACACGGCCCAGACUCCUACGGGAGGGAGCAGUAGGGAAUCUUCGGCAAUGGACGAAAGUCUGACCGAGCAACGCCGCGUGAGUGAAGAAGGUUUUCGGAUCGUAAAGCUCUGUUGUAAGAGAAGAACGGGUGUGAGAGUGGAAAGUUCACACUGUGACGGUAUCUUACCAGAAAGGGACGGCUAACUACGUG
rnacentral:rRNA from 1 species